GUAAAGGCUCUUAUGGAUAUCCAUAGCGUAAUCGACCAUGUUUGUCUUGUUCAAAAGCUCGAUCUUUGCUUUCAAGAUCUGUUCAUCUGGGUAUAGUUGUCGCUCUUGCAAGAACUCCAGCAAUGGAAACACUAAGUGCCUGUCUAGGUUCGGGCCGAUACGCGGGGUUAUAUCGUAAGUAGCCAUUGCCAGGGUUUACUCUGGUUUCUGGCUUCGUGCUUAUUGUUUGAUAUAAACAAAUUUUUAGUAUAUAUAUUCCUUCUCCACUCCCUCAAUUCAAAUGGAGUUAAGAGUUAAAAUAUAGUUUUAAAUUUAUUUUUUAUUUUCGAAUUAAAUAUAAUAAGUUGUUUUUACAAAAAAAAAAUACUAACCAUUUCUAAAAAAAUAUUUAUUAAUAUUAUUUAUAAUAAUUACUAGAUGAUACUAAUAUAUUUUAUACUAAUUUAAAUCUACUCCAAUAUAAAAUAUAUGUUUAAAAUUUCGUUUAAGUCACAUAUUGUUUGUAUUCCUCCCCCAUCCUUCUUCAGGAAUAGACAAUAUUAUUUGGACAUGCAUGGCUUCAAGUUUCUUUUUGAUCCAUAGCGUAUUUUAGCCUCUCAGAAAAUUUUUGGAAUUUUAAGGAUAUCCUCUAUAAGAAUAGCUGAAAAUACCAAUGGUCACAAAGAGUUAAUUUUUUUUCUUUGACUAGCCUUCAAGCAAAGACUUUUGUCUAAUCUAGAGCGAACUAGACGAGGAAUUGAUCAUAAUAGCUCAUAUCCUAUUUGUGGCCACGAAACAGAAGACAUGCUCCACGUGCUUCAAGAUCGUUCGGCAUCAAAGGAGGUUUGGUUACAGGUUAUAUCUUCUGGUAGAUAGUAGCGUUCUUCUCUGGGUUUCUUCAAGAAUGAUUGACUUCAAAUCUUGCCUGUCACGUCCAGUUGCCUAGUUGAGGGUUAAUUUAAUAUUGUUUAUUCAAUUUAAUUGUGUGGCGCAUUUGAAAGAAUAAGAAUCUGUUCAUCUUUCAAGACAUCACUUGGAUGACUCUCGGUACUAUCAAGGUCUCAUUUAGUUGGGCAUAACAACUUGAGUUAAGUCACAAAGGCCAUCAACAUUCUAAGGAAUCUAACGGUUCUUGAUCAGCCAUGGGGAAUACGUGAACACACUUAUUCACUGAUGGAACAGUAGCUAUUGGUAAUGGUAAUGCUUUCGUUGGAAGUGUUUUGCGAGACCAACAUGAGAACUGGACAUUGGGGUUUAAUCACUACAUUGGAAGAUACUUACUUUUCGAGGCUAAAUUAUGAGAAAUUUUAGAUGGUCUACUAGUAUCGUAGCAAAGGAUUUAAAAGGGCCACGAUGCAGUCUAAUAACCUUGAGAUGAUUAGGUCCUUACAAGAAAGUUAGUUAACAAAUUCUAGUAUUACAAUGCUUAAAAUGAUCAGAAGAAUUUUGCAAGCUAAAGGACAAUAGAGCAGUAGACACGCGCCUAGAGAACUUAAUCAUGCUGCUGAUUAUUUGGCUAAGAUGAAUUUACCGGGAAGACAAGCCUUCAAGUCUUUGAUGACACCCGGAACGAAGUUUUAAAGAUUAUAUAACAAGAGAAAGAUAAUGAUGUUUUUGUUAAUGUCAUGUUGAUGUAGUUCAGUUUUUAAUUUAAACACUAAAAAAAAUUUCAUUUAAAUUUAUUCAUAUUUAAGCCCGCCUGUAUUAUUAUUUUCAAAAUUUUAUAUUAUUUUUAAUAGGGGAGAGAUCCCUUACAUAUUAUUAUUUUUAAUAACACAUUUAAAUCCAAAGUUCUCAACACAACGCUGUACUUUUAAUAACUCGGUACAAGCAUUUAAAAAAUUUCUUGACAAAAGUUGAAAGAGCACCAUACAAUUUAGAUUUAGAUAAUGAUUUAUCAGUCUUGUUCCUACUCAAAAACUUAAAUCACUGUUAAAUUUGUCUGAAAGAAAUAAACAAUCAGCAAAUAGCUCAAAAUUGCAUAUAAAUUCAAAAGAUCUUCCUUGUCCGUCCAACUUAACGUGCAGGCUGUGCUUGUGCGUGCUCGAGAAGCUGGCCGACUAGCUUGUAGGUCCGCCCUUGAAGGGCCUUAGUGUGGUCGAUCAGCUGCUCGUAACUGGAGAAAUCCAGUAUCCAAAUUGGAAGUCAUUAAGAGAAGAGGAACAAACAAAUGAAGUUAUGGAAGGAACAUAGUAUGAAAGAUGCACAAUAUUUAGAACAAGGAAAUCUUACACAUUCGGUUGAUUAGGCUCCAUAAUAACGGUUCCAGUCUUUGAAUCAAUCUUUGCAUCAAGUUUAGAGUUUCGGAUGAGAUUCACAAUCCAUCUCUCACCCUCCUCGUAAUUUAAAUUCAGUUUCUCAAAAAGCACCCUUGAAACACAUAAAACAUCCAUUUAAUGUUGGAUCAAAAUCUAAGAAAAGCAACUAAAACAACAUAAUCUCAUAAGUAAAAGCAUAUCUUGAAAGAGUUACGAAGACCAACGGGAAGUAACCAAUAUAAUAAGAGAUAUUCGAGCCCAUGUUACUUGGAUUUGGGCGAGUUUCAGAUACGGGUAUGUUUAAUUGUUUUCUAAGUUUUUCCAUGUAUUGAAGGGUCAUAUAUUCAUAAUCGCAAGACAAAUACUUCAAGAAAAAUGAACAGUCGGGAAAUGCAUAGAUAAUAGCAAACCAAAGGUUUAUGUUGUGAUGGUUUGUGAUCUGUGCACAUGCCUGCUGUGCAGAUGAAAACAUGCAUUACAGAUAGAAAGGUUUUUAUCUGUUUUGAUUUAAUAUUUUGUACAAAAUUUCAUCAAUCCUUAACAUGCAAUUAGCCAUAAAAAAUUCAUAACUCAGUGCAAUGUUAUGGGAAACCCAGCAUGCAAAGCACACUUUGAGCCUAUUGGCAAUUUAACAUUCAAAUGGAUCGUGUCAUUUACUCAUAAGACGAAGUCAAUUAUCCACAUAAGAAGCUAAUUAUAUAAGUUUGACAAAGCAGGAACUUACCCCAUAUCAAUGCGCUGAUGAAUUCUGCAGUAUGUCUCGAAGAUAAAUAGACGAGCAUUCUCAAGAAAUUCAUCUUUUAAUGGGACAGUAGAAAAGUUGCCCUCUUCAACUCUUUUUCCAAGGAAGGGAUCAUUCAGUAUCACCUACAACAAAGACGGAAAAAUAAGGGUGUAAAAGAUAGAGCCUACAAUUCCAAUAUCAAACAAAAAGCUAAAGGCAACCAAAGAAGAUGACGAAACUUCAAGCUAAAACAUUGCACAAUUUUAUGGUACAAGAUACUACAAUCUAACUUACUUCUUCGCACUCCUUCAUCUUCUUCUGUGCUCCAUCAAAUUCAUAGUUGACAUAAACACAUGCCAAAAACUCCGUGAUGGGAUCUUUGUAAGAGCAUUGAUCUUGCUGGAUAACCUUGAUAAAUUCUUUGAAUUGAGGUCUUCUCCUUUUGUUGACAAUAAAAGCAGUGGCUAAGUACCUUAGAAGAUGGGGAGCACUGGUUUGAAUGGCGUUUAGAUACCUGGAAAGAAGCAAAAUCACCUCGUAAGAAGAGACAACUACACAAUGUUGGAUAACAGAGAAAGGAAAUAUAUAAACCAAGAGAAAUAAUGCAAUAACCAAUGAAAGAAAGCAGUAAGAACAUCCAAAUUCAAACACAAUUUUAUGUUUGGUUCCAACAACAAUCUCCCUUGUGAAAUAAAAAUUCCAAAACAAGCAGUAUGGCGAACAUAUCACAUACUUUAGCCUCAAAACUUUGAACAAACAUUUUGCAAAUUACAUGGCAGGCUAGGCAUUAACUUUUCAUAUUAAAAAAACCAAGCAAAUGAUAAAAGAAAUCCAUAAAGUUUCUAAACAUGUUCCAUUCCAACACAAUCAAAAUCGAAGCAUGUGAAGACAGCAUGAUCUUGAAAUAGAAGUAAGUCAUGGCAUAAAAAUACAGGAAAAUGCACAAAGAACAAAUAAGAACAGAUUUGACUACUACACAAAUGAUGCAACUAACAACAUCAGUAACAAGACAUGGAAACCUUAAGGUUAGUUGUUAAAGUGACAUACUUGUCUUGAUUAAAUAGGUCGAUGAUCUGUGUUCUUCCAUUGUCAUGGUUGAAAAAGAUGAAGAGGCUCCAAUGCAUGAGCCAUAUUCUACUCUGAACUUGGUUCAAAGGUGAUGAGAAGCUCUGCAGCAAAAGACCAAUAAAUGAGUCAACGAAUAAUCGAAAAGCAAAUUGUCAAAAUAAAAACCGAAUAAUCAACAGGGAUAUAACCAAAACCUUGGAAUCGAUUAUUUCUUUCAAACGAUUAAGUUCUUCAAGAGCAGUAUCCCAGUUUUGCAUCAGUAUCUCGGCAGCAAGCUUCCCCCACAAUGCACUCAAACUCCUUUCGCUGUUAGUACAUAAUGCCCGAUACUGAUACAGAUAGUCAGCAGCACCAGAGUAGUUGCCACACUCAAAUUGGAAUUUUGCAUACUGAUAUAAUGCCUCUAUUUGAUCUGGACCAAUCUGUUAAAAAAAAAUUUAUUCACCAUUAAAUUAAAAAAAAACUUUAAUUAAUUCAAACCAUUUAAAAUCAAAACUUUAACAACGAAGAGCAUGCUAGAAUUUUAGCAUAAGAAAGCAUAUGCAUCUAUUUGGUUAUUCUUUAUCUUUUCCUUAAAAAUCACAUAAUUUUAUGACUAAUACAAAUUCACACUUGAAUGGGUUAUUCACUAAAAAUCCUAAAGGGGUUAAAAAUAGCAUAAAAAUAACCUUAAAUUCAUAAAUAAAGGCAGAAAAAACAGACCUGGUAGCGGUCAUUAAGCAUCUGGAGAUUAUACUGUUUAUCAGCACGCAAUUCCUGAACAGCGUUAGGGUUUUGCAAGAAAGUGACGAGAGGAGCGGCGGCAUCUUCCAAAGCUUUGAGACGAGCGACAACCUCGACUCUCCUCUCGACCAUGUCCUGAGGGACAUCAUCGGUGUGGUAAAGGCUCUUAUGGAUAUCCAUAGCGUAAUCGACCAUAUUUGUCUUGUUCAAAAGCUCGAUCUUUGCUUUCAAGAUCUGUUCAUCUGGGUAUAGUUGUCGCUCUUGCAAGAACUCCAGCAAUGGAAACACUAAGUGCCUGUCUAGGUUCGGGCCGAUACGCGGGGUUAGAUCGUAAGUUGCCAUUGCCGCCGACAGUGUUCUUAGGGUUUACUCUGGUUUGUGACUUUUUGUUUGAUAUAUUCUUUCUUGCUCCACUC
rnacentral:lncRNA from 1 species